rfam:Candida parapsilosis strain CDC317 annotated contig 005809
GCCUGGCUAGCUCAAUCGGCUAGAGCGUGAGACUUUUAAUCUCAAGGUUGCGGGUUCGAGUCCCGCGUCGGGCU